AAUAAGUGCAGUUUUGCACUAUUCACGUUCAACGUUUGACUGAUCGUCUUAUUUGAAAAAUUUUUAUAAUUAGUAUUUUUAUUGCUAUUAGAUGAUAAAAUAUGAAUAGUAUUUUAUGUGUGACUAUUUUUUUAAUAUUUUUUUCAUAAAUUUUUUAAAUAAGACGGACGGUCAAACGUUGGACACGGAUAUCGACGGCUACACUUAUC
rfam:Oryza glumipatula chromosome 12, whole genome shotgun sequence.